rnacentral:rRNA from 1 species
AGCGAACGCUGGCGGCGUGCCUAACACAUGCAAGUCGAACGUGAAAGGGAGCAAUCCCCUGUAAAGUGGCUUACGGGUGAGUAACACGUAGGUAAUCUACCCCAGAAUCUGGAAUAACCGGCCGAAAGGCUGGCUAAUACUGGAUAGAGCGACGGAAUCCGUAAUUGGUUUUUUCGGGAAAGUUAGUCUGUAACAACUCCUUCGUUCUUGGCUGAGCCUGCUUCCCAUCAGCUAGUUGUUGAGGUAAAAGCUUACCAAGGCAAUGACGGGUAGCUGGUCUGAGAGGACGAUCGGCCACACUGGAACUGAAACACGGUCCAGACUCCUACGGGAGGCAGCAGUGGGGAAGCUUGCGCAAUGGACGAAAGUCUGACGCAGCAACGCCGCGUGAGUGAAGAAGGCCUUCGGGUUGUAAAGCUCUGUCGAGUGGGAAGAAAAUGCUUGGAGUUCAAAGCUCCAGGAACUGACGGUACCACUAAAGGAAGCACCGGCUAACUCCGUG